GUGAGGAAUUUUCCGCAAUGGGCGAAAGCCUGACGGAGCAAUGCCGCGUGAAGGAUGAAGGCCUAUGGGUUGUAAACUUCUUUUCUCAGAAAAGAAUUAUGACGGUAUCUGAGGAAUAAGCAUCGGCUAACUCUGUGCCAGCAGCCGCGGUAAGACAGAGGAUGCAAGCGUUAUCCGGAAUGAUUGGGCGUAAAGCGUCUGUAGGUUGUUUAAAAAGUAUUCUGUCAAAGAUUAGGGCUUAACCCUAGAUAGGCAGAAUAAACUUUUAAGCUAGAGUGUGGUAGAGGCAGAGGGAAUUCCCGGUGGAGCUGUGAAAUGCGUAGAUAUCGGGAGGAACACCAAAGGCGAAGGCACUCUGCUGGGCCAAUACUAACACUGAGAGACGAAAGCGAGGGGAGCAAAUGGGAUUAGAUACCCGGGUAGUCC
rnacentral:rRNA from 1 species